rnacentral:rRNA from 1 species
UACGUAGGGUGCGAGCGUUAAUCGGAAUUACUGGGCGUAAAGCGUGCGCAGGUGGUUGUGUAAGCUUGAUGUGAAAUCCCCGGGCUUAACCUGGGAAUGGCAUUGAGGACUGCACGGCUAGAGUGUGGCAGAGGGGGGGUGGAAUUCCGCGUGUAGCAGUGAAAUGCGUAGAGAUGCGGAGGAACACCGAUGGCGAAGGCAGCCCCCUGGGCUAACACUGACACUCAUGCACGAAAGCGUGGGGAGCAAACAGG